rnacentral:rRNA from 1 species
AGUGAACGCUGGCGGUAGGCCUAACACAUGCAAGUCGAACGGCAACACAGUAAGAGCUUGCUCUUACGGGUGGCGAGUGGCGGACGGGUGAGGAAUACAUCGGAAUCUACUUUUUCGUGGGGGAUCACGUAGGGAAACUUACGCUAAUACCGCAUACGAUCUACGGGUGAAAGCAGUGGAUAUUCGGACCUUGCGCGAAUGAAUGAGCCGAUGUCGGAUUAGCUAGUUGGGGGGGUAAAGGCCCACCAAGGCGACGAUCCGUAGCUGGUCUGAGAGGAUGAUCGGCCACACUGGAACUGAGACACGGUCCAGACUCCUACGGGAGGCAGCAGUGGGGAAUAUUGGGCAAUGGGCGCAAGCCUGAUCCAGCCAUCCCGCGUGAGUGACGAAGGCCUUCGGGUCGUAAAGCCCUUUUGUUGGGAAAGAAAAGCUGCAGGCUAAUACCCCGCUGUUCUGACGGUACCCAAUGAAUAAGCACCGGCUAACUACGUG